ACGCAGACGCGCUCUCAGUGAGGCGGCGCGGCGAAGACCUAGGAGGACUGGGCUCCAGGAAAAAGAAGUCGGGAGGGCGCAGCAAGUUCUUAAAGGGGCCGCGAAUGCAGGGAUCCGGAGCUUGACGCCGCCUGGCGAGUGGCCGGGAAACUGAAGCCCAGAAAGAAGUUUCUAGCUGGGUCUCAGCGCCUUGGCUGCCAGGAAGCUCUCAGAUCUGGGGUCUACGCCUGUAGGAAAAGAUCAGUGUCUCCACUCCUGCCCACGUGGUGACUGCAUUUCUGCUCCCUGUCCACUCUACUGGCCCUUGAUGGCCCCUCGCUGCUGCCUGUGACCUCAUCCGCCGCCACUCGCCCUGGUCUCCCGAGUCUGUUUCGACCUUCAUGCUGCAGGCCAGCACAUCAUGGUGCCUGGAACAAGGGACCUGAAUACAAGGGACUUCAGUGAGGAACGCCAACAUCAACUCGGGAUCUGUGGAAGAAAGUAAAAUUUAAAAGAGGACCAUGGUCGCCUGCUCAGUCUUCUGGAAUAAAGAAAUGUGAAGGGAGAGCGGCAGUGAGCAACGGAGGAGCAGACUGCGAGAUAG